rnacentral:rRNA from 1 species
UACGUAGGGGGCAAGCGUUGUCCGGAAUUAUUGGGCGUAAAGAGCGCGUAGGCGGUCUGAUAAGUCGGUUGUGAAAGUCGGGGGCUCAACCCUCGGAUGCCGAUCGAUACUGUCAGGCUAGAGUCCGGAAGAGGCGAGUGGAAUUCCUGGUGUAGCGGUGAAAUGCGCAGAUAUCAGGAGGAACACCGAUGGCGAAGGCAGCUGCCUGGCCUAGAACUGACGCUGAGGUGCGAAAGCGUGGGGAGCGAACGGG